rnacentral:rRNA from 1 species
GACGAACGCUGGCGGCGUGCUUAACACAUGCAAGUCGAACGGAAAGGCCCUGCUUUUGUGGGGUGCUCGAGUGGCGAACGGGUGAGUAACACGUGAGUACCCUGUCCUUGACUUUGGGAUAACUUCAGGAAACUGGGGCUAUUACCGGAUAGGAGUUCUUGCCGUUUGGUGGGGGUUGGUAAGUUUCGGCGGUUGGGGAUGGACUCGCGGCCUAUCAGCUUGUUGGUGGGGUAGUGGCUUACCAAGGCCUUGACGGGUAGCCGGCCUGAGAGGGUGACCGGCCACAUUGGGACUGAGAUACGGCCCAGACUCCUACGGGAGGCAGCAGUGGGGAAUAUUGCACAAUGGGCGGAAGCCUGAUGCAGCAACGCCGCGUGCGGGAUGACGGCCUUCGGGUUGUAAACCGCUUUCGCCUGUGACGAAGCGUGAGUGACGGUAAUGGGUAAAGAAGCACCGGCUAACUACGUG